rnacentral:rRNA from 1 species
GGCGGACGGGUGAGUAAUGUCUGGGAAACUGCCUGAUGGAGGGGGAUAACUACUGGAAACGGUAGCUAAUACCGCAUAACGUCGCAAGACCAAAGAGGGGGACCUUCGGGCCUCUUGCCAUCGGAUGUGCCCAGAUGGGAUUAGCUAGUAGGUGGGGUAACGGCUCACCUAGGCGACGAUCCCUAGCUGGUCUGAGAGGAUGACCAGCCACACUGGAACUGAGACACGGUCCAGACUCCUACGGGAGGCAGCAGUGGGGAAUAUUGCACAAUGGGCGCAAGCCUGAUGCAGCCAUGCCGCGUGUAUGAAGAAGGCCUUCGGGUUGUAAAGUACUUUCAGCGGGGAGGAAGGGAGUAAAGUUAAUACCUUUGCUCAUUGACGUUACCCGCAGAAGAAGCACCGGCUAACUCCGUGCCAGCAGCCGCGGUAAUACGGAGGGUGCAAGCGUUAAUCGGAAUUACUGGGCGUAAAGCGCACGCAGGCGGUUUGUUAAGUCAGA